rnacentral:rRNA from 1 species
GACGAACGCUGGCGGCGUGCCUAAUACAUGCAAGUCGAACGCUGAAGGAGGAGCUUGCUUCUCUGGAUGAGUUGCGAACGGGUGAGUAACGCGUAGGUAACCUGCCUUGUAGCGGGGGAUAACUAUUGGAAACGAUAGCUAAUACCGCAUAAGAGUAGAUGUUGCAUGACAUUUGCUUAAAAGUUGCAAUUGCAUCACUACCAGAUGGCCCUGCGUUGUAUUAGCUAGUUGGUGGGGUAACGGCUUACCAAGGCGACGAUACAUAGCCGACCGGAGGGGGGGAUCGGCCACACGGGAACUGAGACACGGCCCAGACUCCUACGGGAGGCGGCAGUGGGGAAUAUUGGACAAUGGGCGAAGGCCGGACCCAGCAAGACCGCGGGGGUGAGGAAGGUCUUCGGUUUGUAAAGCCCGUUUGUAGGGAAAGAAGAGUGGCAGGGUGGAAAGCUCACGUUGUGACGGUACCCUAACAAAAAGGGACGGCUAACUACGUG